UAAUACAGAGGGUGCAAGCGUUAAUCGGAAUUACUGGGCGUAAAGCGCGCGUAGGUGGUUUGAUAAGUUAGAUGUGAAAGCCCCGGGCUCAACCUGGGAGGGUCAUCUAAAACUGUCAGACUAGAGUAUGGUAGAGGGUAGUGGAAUUUCUAGUGUAGCGGUGAAAUGCGUAGAUAUUAGAAGGAACACCAGUGGCGAAGGCGACUGCCUGGACUGAUACUGACACUGAGGUGCGAAAGCGUGGGUAGCGAACAGGAUUAGAUACCCUGGUAGUCCACGCCGUAAACGAUGACAACUAGACGUUGGGUUCCUUGAGGACUUAGUGUCGAAGCUAACGCGUUAAGUUGUCCGCCUGGGGAGUACGGUCGCAAGAUUA
rnacentral:rRNA from 1 species